rnacentral:rRNA from 1 species
GAUGAACGCUGGCGGCGUGCCUAAUACAUGCAAGUCGAGCGAUCAAACGAGUACCUUUCUCGUGUGAGUUUAGCGGCGGACAAGGGGGUAACACCUCGAGAACCACCCUAUAACACUUUGAUAACUUCCGCAAACCAGAGCUACUACCAGAGGAUAUAUUGAAUCUCAUGGAUCAUGGGUGAAAGACGGUUUUUGUUUCGCUGGUAGAUGGGUCCGCGGCGCAUUAGCUAGUUGGUAAGGUGACGGCGUACCAAGGCAACGAUGCGUAGCCGACCUGAGAGGGUGAUGGGCCACAAUGGAACUGAGACACGGUCGAGACUCCUACGAGAGGCAGCAGCAGGGAAUAUUACGCAAUGGGCGAAAGACUGACGGAGCAACGACGCGGGAGUGAUGAAGGUCUUCGGAUCGUAAAACUCUGUUAUCAGGGAAGAACAAAUGUGUAAGUGUCUAUGCACGUCUUGACGGUACCUAAUUAGAAAGCCACGGCUAACUACGUG